AGCGUGGAGACAGGUGGUGCAUGGCUGUCGUCAGCUCGUGUCGUGAGAUGUUGGGUUAAGUCCCGCAACGAGCGCAGCCCUCACCCCUUGUUGCUACCAGGUAAAGCUGGGCACUCUAGGGGAACUGCCCCGGUCAACGGGGAGGAAGGCGGGGAUGACGUCAAGUCAUCAUGCCCCUUACGUCCUGGGCUACACACGUGCUACAAUGGCCGGUACAAAGGGAUGCCACACCGCGAGGUAGAGCUAAACCCAAAAAGCCGGUCUAAGUUCAGAUUGGAGUCUGCAACUCGACUCCAUGAAGGAGGAAUCGCUAGUAAUCGCGUAUCAGCACGACGCGGUGAAUACGUUCCCGGGCCUUGUACACACCGCCCGUCACACCACGAAAGCCAGCUGUACUCGAAGUCGCUGAG
rnacentral:rRNA from 1 species